rnacentral:rRNA from 1 species
AACGAACGCUGGCGGCAUGCCUAACACAUGCAAGUCGAACGAGACCUUCGGGUCUAGUGGCGCACGGGUGCGUAACGCGUGGGAAUCUGCCCUUGGGUUCGGAAUAACAGUGAGAAAUUACUGCUAAUACCGGAUGAUGUCUUCGGACCAAAGAUUUAUCGCCCAGGGAUGAGCCCGCGUAGGAUUAGCUAGUUGGUGGGGUAAUGGCCUACCAAGGCGACGAUCCUUAGCUGGUCUGAGAGGAUGAGCAGCCACACUGGGACUGGGACACGGCCCAGACUCCUACGGGAGGCAGCAGUGGGGAAUAUUGGAAAAUGGGGUCAAGCCUGAUCCAGCAAUGCCGCGUGAGUGAUGAAGGCCUUAGGGUUGUAAAGCUCUUUUACCCGGGAUGAUAAUGACAGUACCGGGAGAAUAAGCUCCGGCUAACUCCGUG